rnacentral:rRNA from 1 species
UACGAAGGGAGCUAGCGUUGUUCGGAAUCACUGGGCGUAAAGCGCACGUAGGCGGCUUGCUAAGUCAGGGGUGAAAUCCUGGAGCUCAACUCCAGAACUGCCCUUGAUACUGGCGGUCUCGAGUCCGGGAGAGGUGAGUGGAACUGCGAGUGUAGAGGUGAAAUUCGUAGAUAUUCGCAAGAACACCAGUGGCGAAGGCGGCUCACUGGCCCGGUACUGACGCUGAGGUGCGAAAGCGUGGGGAGCAAACAGG